UUUGCUUAAAAUAAGAGGUCCAGCCUGCCCAGUGACACUGUUCAACGGCCGCGGUAUCCUAACCGUGCGAAGGUAGCGUAAUCACUUGUUCUUUAAAUGAGGACUAGUAUGAAAGGCACCACGAGAGUCAUACUGUCUCCUCUCUCCAAUCAGUUAAACUAAUCUCCCCGUGAAGAAGCGGGGAUAACCAUAUAAGACGAGAAGACCCUAUGGAGCUUUAAACGAAUAACACUUGCCCACCUCUCCUUUAAUUUCAGAAAAAUCUACUACCUUGGCAUUAUACUUAUAAGUUUUUGAUUGGGGUGAUCACGGAACAAAAAAUAACCUCCGCAAUGAAAGACUCUCCACAGCUAAGUCAAGAACCACAACUCUACACAUCAACAAAUUGACACAAUUGACCCAAUUUAUUGAUCAAUGAAC
rnacentral:rRNA from 1 species